AUGUCUGGUUUGAGAAAUGAAA
rnacentral:piRNA from 1 species